rnacentral:rRNA from 1 species
CCUACGGGCGGCAGCAGUGGGGAAUAUUGCACAAUGGGGGAAACCCUGAUGCAGCGACGCCGCGUGAGUGAAGAAGUAUUUCGGUAUGUAAAGCUCUAUCAGCAGGGAAGAAAUAAAGUCCUUCGGACUUUGGACGGUACCUGACUAAGAAUCCCCGGCUAACUCCGUGCCAGCAGCCGCGGUAAUUCGUAUGGGGCAAGCGUUACCCGGAUUUACUGGGUGUAAAGGGAGCGUAGACGGCAGCGCAAGUCUGGAGGGAAAUCCCAUGGAUUAACCAUGAAACUGCUUUGGAAACUGUGCAGCUGGAGUGCAGGAGAGGUAAGCAGAAUUCCUAGUGUAGCGGUGAAAUGCGUAGAUAUUAGGAGGAACACCAGUGGCGAAGGCGGCUUACUGGACUGUAACUGACGUUGAGGCUCGAAAGCGUGGGGAGCAAACAGGAUUAGAUACCCCAGUAGUC